rnacentral:tmRNA from 1 species
GGGGGUGAACGGUUUCGACUCUGGACGUUGAGUCAGGGGAAGCGUGCAGGUGCAGGCGAGAGACCACCUUAAGCGUCAUCGCAAACCAAUAAGCGCCAAGACUACGAGUCAGCGCGACGUCGCCCUCGCUGCCUAAGCGAGUGCGUGUCUGUCGGUCCGGGAGCGCCUCCGUCCCGGUCACCGGCAUCAGCUAGGAGGCUUACCAGCAGACCCGGCCGCGGAGUCUGUUCGGGAAACCCACAGCGGCUGGGCCCGUCACACCGGACUUGUUCGCGUGACUGGUGGGGCCGAGUAGAGACAUAGCGAACUGCGCACGGAGAAGUCCUGGUAAUACGGCAGAGGACCCGGGUUCGAUUCCCGGCACCUCCACUC